UACAGAGGGUGCGAGCGUUGUCCGGAAUUAUUGGGCGUAAAGGGCUCGUAGGCGGUUUGUCGCGUCGGGAGUGAAAUCCACUGGCUUAACUGGUGGCUUGCUUUCGAUACGGGCAGACUGGAGGUAUGCAGGGGAGAACGGAAUUCCUGGUGUAGCGGUGAAAUGCGUAGAUAUCAGGAGGAAUACCGAUGGCGAAGGCAGCCCCCUGGGUCGAUACUGACGCUCAUGCACGAAAGCGUGGGGAGCAAACAGG
rnacentral:rRNA from 1 species